rnacentral:rRNA from 1 species
AGGGAUCUGCCCAGUAGUGGGGGACAACAGUUGGAAACGACUGCUAAUACCGCAUACGCUCUACGGAGGAAAGCGGGGGACCUUUCGGGGCCUCGUGCUAUUGGAUGAACCUAUAUCAGAUUAGCUAGUUGGUGAGGUAACGGCUCACCAAGGCUGCGAUGGUUAGCUGGUCUGAGAGGAUGAUCAGCCACACUGGGACUGACACACGGCCCAGACUCCUACGGGAGGCAGCAGUAGGGAAUAUUGCGCAAUGGGGGAAACCCUGACGCAGCAACGCCGCGUGGGUGAAGAAGGCUUUCGAGUUGUAAAGCCCUGUCAGGAGGGAAGAAAUGUUUGUCGGAACAAUACCCGGCAGGCUUGACGGUACCUCCAGAGGAAGCACCGGCCAACUCCGUGCCAGCAGCCGCGGUAAUACGGAGGGUGCAAGCGUUGUUCGGAUUUACUGGGCGUAAAGCGCGUGUAGGCGGCUCGUUAGGUCAGAUGUGAAAUCCCUUGGCUCAACCGAGGAAGUGCAUUUGAAACCGGCGGGCUUGAGUACGGGAGAGGGAAGCAGAAUUCCUAGUGUAGAGGUGAAAUUCGUAGAUAUUAGGAGGAAUACCCGUGGCGAAGGCGGCUUCCUGGACCGAUACUGACGCUGAGACGCGAAAGCGUG